UAAAGUGCGAUAUCAAGUGCGAUGUGCAUUAUCUGUGAGUCAUUAUAUUUUUGAACGCAACUUGCGCUGGGUGACCAGCAUGUCUAUUUGAGAACGGCAUAAUUAUGUGUGCAAUGUGGCCUCGGUAUAGCGCCUUGGUUGGAAUAACGCAAGUUGGGGUGGAUGGUGGUCGCUUGUGAGUUGGAGCUUCGGCUUGUCACGGCGACAACCAACAUCUUUAAUACUUUUACCUUUCGUCUCAAAUUAGGCAAGACUACCCGCUGAACUUAA
rnacentral:misc_RNA from 1 species